GAUCUUUSASAGMGGCGUACGGGUGCGGAACACGUGUGCAACCUGCCUUUAUCASGGGGAUAKCCUUUCGAAAGGAAGAUUAAUACCCCAUAAUAUAAUGAGUGGCAUCACUUAYURUUGAAAACUCCGGUGGAUAGAKAUGGGCACGCKCAAGAUUARAUAGUUGGUAGGGUAACGGCCUACCAAGUCAGYGAUCUUUAGGGGGCCUGAKAGGGUGAUCCCCCACACUGGUACUGAGACACGGACCAGACUCCUACGGGAGGCAGCAGUGAGGAAUAUUGGACAAUGGGUGAGAGCCUGAUCCAGCCAUCCCGCGUGAAGGACGACGGCCCUAUGGGUUGUAAACUUCUUUUGUAUAGGGAUAAACCUUUCCACGUGUGGAAAGCUGAAKGUACUMUACGAAUAAGCACCGGCUMACUCCGUGMCAKCMGCCGCGGUAAUACGGAGGGYGCAAGCGUUAUCCGGAUUUAUUGGGUUUAAAKGGYCCGUAKGCGGAYCUGUAAGUCASUGGUGAAAUCUYAUAGCUUAACUAUGAAACYSCCAUUGAUACUGCMGGWCUUGASUAAAGUAGAAGUGGCUGGAAUAAGUAGUGUAGCGGUGAAAUGCAUAGAUAUUACUUAGAACACCAAUUGCGAAGGCAGGUCACUAUGUUUUAACUGAMGYUGAUGGACKAAAGCKUGGGGAGCKAACAGGAUUAGAUACCCUGGUAGUCCACGCCGUAAACGAUGCUAACUCGUUUUUGGGUUUUCGGAUUCAGAGACUAAGCGAAAGUGANMAGUUAGCCACCUGGKGAGUACGUUCGCHAGAAUGAAACUCAAAGGAAUUGACGGGGGCACGCACAAGCGGUGGAUUAUGUGG
rnacentral:rRNA from 1 species